UAGAGUUUGAUCCUGGCUCAGGAUGAACGCUAGCGGCAGGCUUAACACAUGCAAGUCGAGGGGCAGCGCGAGGUAGCAAUACCUUGGCGGCGACCGGCGCACGGGUGCGUAACGCGUAUGCAACCUACCCACUACAGGGGGAUAACGGAGGGAAACUUCCACUAAUAUCCCAUGGUGUUGCGGAACCGCAUGGUUCUGUAACUAAAGCUUCGGUGGUAGUGGAUGGGCAUGCGUGACAUUAGGUAGUUGGCGGGGCAACGGCCCACCAAGCCGACGAUGUCUAGGGGAGCUGAGAGGCUUAUCCCCCACACUGGUACUGAGACACGGACCAGACUCCUACGGGAGGCAGCAGUGAGGAAUAUUGGUCAAUGGACGGAAGUCUGAACCAGCCAUGCCGCGUGGAGGAAGAAGGUCCUAUGGGUUGUAAACUCCUUUUGUUCCAGAGUAAUAAGGGCUUUGCGAAGUCCGAUGAGAGUAUGGGACGAAUAAGCAUCGGCUAACUCCGUGCCAGCAGCCGCGGUAAUACGGAGGAUGCAAGCGUUAUCCGGAUUUAUUGGGUUUAAAGGGUGCGCAGGCGGAUAGUUAAGUCAGCGGUGAAAUCUCACGGCUCAACCGUGGAACUGCCGUUGAUACUGGCUGUCUGGAGUACGGACGGCGCCGGCGGAAUGUGUCAUGUAGCGGUGAAAUGCUUAGAUAUGCCACAGAACACCGAUCGCGAAGGCAGCUGGCGAGGCCGGUACUGACGCUCAGGCACGAAAGCGUGGGGAUCAAACAGGAUUAGAUACCCUGGUAGUCCACGCAGUAAACGAUGAGGACUUGUUGUCGGCGAUAGAAUGUCGGUGACAAAGCGAAAGCGAUAAGUCCUCCACCUGGGGAGUACGAUCGCAAGGUUGAAACUCAAAGGAAUUGACGG
rnacentral:rRNA from 1 species